rnacentral:misc_RNA from 1 species
GGGCAGCAACCGGCGCUGGCUUUGCAGCCAGACCUGGUACAGAUCGUCCUGUAACUGACUGCCAAUGCGUAAGUCAUUGAUCAGAAUAUACGCUCCGGCAGGCAACGCCUGCUGAUGAAGGCGAAUAUGGCAGUUAGCGUCAACCUGGGCUAUCGCCAGCGUAUGGUCGCAGAGGCUCACCAGCUGCCGUGUCAGCGGUGACGCGCCGUAGGGCAAGUCCAGUAAAAUCCAGCUAUAACGCCCGCUCGCUUUCAGCGCCUGGAUAGCCGAUCCGAUCUCUCCCAGCGUCUCCUGCCAGGCCUGCGGAUUUUCCCGCUCUUGCGCGGUGAGCUGUC